rnacentral:misc_RNA from 1 species
GAUGAAGAACGUAGCGAACUGCGAUAAGUAAUGUGAAUUGCAGAAUUCAGUGAAUCAUCGAGUCUUUGAACGCACAUUGCGCCCCCUGGCAUUCCGGGGGGCAUGCCUGUCCGAGCGUCAUUGCUGCCCUUCAAGCCCGGCUUGUGUGUUGGGUCGUCGUCCCCCCCGGGGGACGGGCCCGAAAGGCAGCGGCGGCACCGCGUCCGGUCCUCGAGCGUAUGGGGCUUUGUCGCCCGCUCGAUUAGGGCCGGCCGGGCGCCAGCCGGCGUCUCCAACCUUCUAUUUUACCAGGUUGACCUCGGAUCAGGUAGGGAUACCCGCUGAACUUAAGCAUAUCAAUAAGCGGAGGA